CGGCGGCGGCGGCGGCUCGGGUGGCUGCGCUGGGAGGCGGCGGUGAGAGGCUCGCACGCCUCCAGCCCGGCCCCGGCCCCCCGGGAGGGAGAGCCGAGCAGCCCCGGCUCUGGGCUACGGACUAUGGGCGAAUAGCUCUGACCACCCGGCGAAGAGAGGCCCCGCUCGGCAGCCCCUGAAAUGCCUCAUUCUGAGGGAAGCAUGACCUCUCUCCCUCCCUGCUCACCUGCAGCUUUCUGGCUUGACAGCACCCUGGUUCCAGGAGAAUGAUUGUUUAUAAUGCACACACCCAGAAGCUAUGUCCUUCGGCAGUAAAAGUUUUACAGCACAAUAUAUGUGCUCUGCUCUCCUCCCGCAAUCCUGCUCCAAGAGAUCUUAAGCUGGAGGCACCAGGUCUGAAUUCCAGACUCCUCCCCACCACCCACACUUCACCUCCAACUGGAGCAUGACCACAGACCCAUUCAGGGAGGCUGGCGGACUCUUCAUCCUGGACAGUCCCUUACUGUAUGUC
rnacentral:lncRNA from 1 species